rnacentral:lncRNA from 1 species
AUGAGGACGCGGAGUGUCUGGCUCAAAUCCCCAAGAGCAGAAGCGGGUGGGGGCUGCUGUCCACACCCUUUAUUCAUUUUUAAUGACCGUACUUUUGUUUUGCAGAUUUUGUUCUGCACCCCUCAAGACCCACAGCCGGGGUGCCCCUCCCCCAUUCAUUUAUCUGCUCAUUCACUUGGCACUGGAAAAGUGUGGAGACUUUCAAGGUUAAGGAUCCUGGUGAGGGAUCCUUUCUGUUUGCGGGAGUUCUUUUGUGGUUGGCUUUCUGUUUUCUCAUUCUUUCUCCCACCCUCAAAACCCGGCCUUUAUUUUGGAAGAGGAAGAGAGAAAAGGAACAGAAAAGGNNNNNNNNNNNNNNNNNNNNNUGAUGCUUUAUUGUCUCCUGGAAAAGGGAAGCAUUUAUGAAACUUUAAGUUUGUCAGACAGUUUAUAUGACAGUGCAAGUUGGUGCUUGCCAAGCUCCAGACAGAUUGCUAACGUUACAUGACAGGGAAAAAGAAAUUACCGCUGUCUGCGAGCGGUGGGCGGGGCCGGGCACCAGGCAGCCUGCAGGCUAUGCAGUGCGUGGGGUGCGUGGGGGUGCGUGGGGGUGCGUGAACAGCCUCCGCCCGCUGCCUGGAAUUCUUCAACUAGCUUUGGAAGCAAGAAGGGUGUGUCUCUUGCUUUUAUUUUCGGCAGGGCUGCAGGGCGACAGGAUCCAGGGAGCAGCUCUGUAUUUUUUCUGACCCGGUGACGCUUUGCCUCGCGGGCGCCUCUGGCCCGCACGACUCUCCUCCAGCCCGCACGACUCUCCUUCGCAUCAGGGGACAUGGUUCCUCAUCUUCCUCCCGGGGUCCAGCUUCCCAUGACACUGAACUGCGUUCUUAGCCACUCGGGUCCUCAGGUGUCUCGAAGCCAAGUUUGCGGCUGCGUUGUUUCUGCAGCUGCAGACGUUAAGAAUCGGUUGCCUGAGAUAAGGGUGCCAUCUACCCGGGGGAGGGGGCUGGUGGCACUCCUUGGGCACAGUGUACUUUCAUCCCUGGCAUGUGGAGAGUCAGCUGGCAGCGUGACAGGUGUAAUGAACUUAAUGGACUUGCUCUAGUUGUUGGUGGGGACAACUGCUCCUAUUACAAAGCUAGCUCCUAAGUGGGGGCUCUGCCAAAGGACUUG